AAAGACAUAAUUGCAUGGUGGGUGCCUUGUGACUUUUGAAAUAAAUACAUUCUGUGAACGAGGAGAAAUGCAAACAUGUUGGCAAAACUGAUUAUUUUCAUUGUGGAUUUCGUGCUUGCUUUGGCCACUUUUGUUAUCUUUUCCUUAAUGACUGCCACUUUUAUUUUCAUCUUGGUCAUUUUCUAUAUUUUCAAAGUGGAGAUGGAAAAAAACUGUGACUUCAACAAGGGCCACAUCUGGGUGCUGGAUUCUAGUGAUGCUACUGGGGAGCCCUUGGCAGGUGGCGCAGAGAAAGUCAGCUCCAAGCUGCUUCCUGUCCAUUUUCCAGCUGUAGGAGAAGGAUCUUUCCUGACCAGGGAGAGUGGUCUCCUCUUCUAAAGAGCAAGGAGCUCUCUGCGGUGGAGAAGGCAUGUGAAGACUUCCCAGAACGCUGCACCCACCUGACUGAGAGUUCCUUUUUAAGGGCAUUCAAACUGUCACCUUCACAUGAAUGGCAAUGAAAGUCUCAUAAAGAAGCAGAAAUACCCAGGAGGCAUAAAGAGUCAUCAUGCUUCAAAAGUACAUGUGUUAGGACUUCACGACCUCAGGAAAAGUAGACCCCAUAACUCUUAAAAGCUCAACCUUGGAGAGGAGAAAUAUGCUAUUUGUUGACACAGCCCUGAAACUUGUUGAAAUGUCUUUGGAGCUUGAGAUGUCGAGAGCCAUCAAAAUGUUCUCAAGAAUUAAAUGGAAAAAUGUUUCUUCAAAAUAUCUUAGCCAACCAAAUACAAACAGUUUUGUCAUUGUGACAAAAAACUGGCCAAUUGCCCUUGCUAGUCUCAGCACAGCCCAAGAGGCGCAUCCUUCAUUAGCCAACUGGAAAACCGUGUGCAGUCUACGCUUCUGACCAGAUGGGCGUCUCUCGUCACCAUAACAUCCUGUAAACACUUUAUUUAUUAUACUGACCAUACUCUGUAUUGCACUUGCAUUGGUUAUUUGUAAAGCUUUUCCUAUUUCAUCAAUAGAUUAUCCUUAAAUUUUAGCAACUGCAUUUUAGUCACUCUGUAUUUUUAAUAGUGCCUACCUAAGUGCCAUAAAUAUUAAUAAGCAUUUUUUCUGAAUCAAUAAUCACCCCCAAAAAUGUAUAGCCAUAGUUGUAAAUACUGUACAAUCCAAAGAAAAGUGGAAAUUAAUGAAGGACCAAUUUUGAGGAAGACUUAGAGUUCUCAAAAAUUCAGCAAGUAUGUUCUUUAAGUUUUUAAAAAUUUAACAAAGUCAACAAGUAUGUCAACAAGUAUUCAACAAGUUAGUUAUAAACAUUUGUUUAUAACUUUACACAUGGUUAAUGCCUUCAGAGCAGUUAGUCAGCAGCAAGAUUCUCAUUUUUAAACCUUUACCCCUUUGUUCAUUCUAAGGAAAGAUGAAGAACAUGUUGCUGUCAGAAAAAUUGGUCCAGGAGUAUGUGAGGAGCCAUUAGGAAGGGAGAAACAGGGAAAUGUGGACCCAAGCAGCAUAGGGUUUCCCAGAAAACUGGGUUAGACACAAGGGUGUACAUGCAGGAAAAAGUAAAACCAAGAAGGUGUGUUAAUCUAAACAAUGCUGUGAGCAAAUGAGACUCAGUUCUCAGGGGACACUCUGAGAAACUGCACAGAAUACGCCUCAAAAUUGUCCACCAGAAGGACAAAUGAGAGGAGAGAUGAACCAUUGGCUCUCUUGUACCAUGGGUCAUGUUGGUCCAGAAGGUGUACACGACCUUGCACUUUAAAGAUUGCACCUGCUACAGAAUGGCUGAAUAGUUUGCAGAAGACAUCUUCAGAGAUGACAACAGAGAAGCAAGAGAUAAGUGCUGCACCUGAUGCAAGGUGCUGGCAGUGACAGUAUCACAACACUGGUGUCUGUAAAAAUGUGGCCAAGAGGAUAUGAGCUAUAGCACAAGAGUAGUUCAACAUCAACUCUCAGAAGCACAUGAGUCUGAUGCAAAUCUAUUGUUCUUGAAAUAAUAAGGACAGGACCUAUUCAUCCCUUCUAGACCGCAGUCAGAGAAAGGGGCACCUGUAGAGAGAAAAGAUCUGGUGAAACUAGUUGGGGAGUGGAAGAAGCCAGGUGAUAUGAUUUGGCUGUGUCCCAACCCAAAAUCUCAUUUUGAAUUGUAAUUCCCAUGUGUUGGGGGUGGUACCUGGUGGGAGGUAAUUUAAUCAUGUGGGCGGUUCCCUCAUGCUGCUCUUAGGAUGGUGAAUGAGUUCUCACAAGAUCUGAUGGUUUUAUAAGGGGCUUUUCCCCUUUUUGCUCUUCACUCCUUGCUGCAGCCAUGUGAAGAAGGACGUGUUUGCUUCCCCUUCUGUCAAGAUCCUAAGUUUCCUGAGAGCUACCCAGCCAUGCUGAACUUAACUAAACCUCUUUACUUUAUAAAUUACUCAUUCUGGGCUUGUCCUUAUAGCAGAGUGAGAACAGACCAAUAUACCAGGGCACUGAAGAAGCCUAAGACCAGACUGCACCUCUCUGGGCUUUAAACAUAGACCAACAUCUGGAUGAACGUUUUUCUUUUUCUUCUGUGCACAUUUUUUGUAUUUCACUGCUAUUUUAAAUUGCCAGCUCUGACAGAACAAUGCCAUCUCCCAGACACUUUUUAUCUACACGUAAAUUAAGUUACUUUAUUGCUUUAGUUUCUCUGAGUUUUGUACAUCUUGGGAAGAGCUCUCAGCUUCUCCUGCUUACAACCUUAGUUUAGGCUGCUCCAAAAGCCAAUCCUGAGAAAAGGAUGUAGAUACAGGUAUUUUAUUUUUUUAGAGACAGGAGUCUUGCUAUGUUGCCCAGGCUGGGCUAGAACUCCUGGCUUCAAGCAAUCCUCCCACCUUAACCUCCUGAGUGUCUGGGACCACAGAUGCAUGUCACCAUGCCCUGGGUAGUUUGAGAGGUGAUCCCAAGAAGUGCAGCAAGGUAGUGAAGAGUGUAGUAGAAAAGGGAAUGAAAGGUGUGUGCAUGAGGUAGCAGGUUACUACCACCUCAGUCUUUCUGGGAGUGUGACCCACAGAGUGUUAGGGAAGCUGCGCUGUUUAUGCACCAGCUCCAGUUUCUCAUUGGUUGAACAUUGCUGCUGCGGAAAUUAAACCCAUGGCACUUCUAGGCUGUCAUGCAUAUAGGCAGAGCAAACUCCUCUAGUGCCAAGAAAGUCCCAUAGGCAGAGAAGCAGGAAGAGAGGCAUGGAUGGUUGAGGUAGAAAGACAUGGGUGUGUUGUACAGCUGCAGUGAAUCCAGACAUUUGGCUGAAGGAUGUAGAUUGGGGCAUCAAUAGCUUCUACUUUACAUUCUGAGAUUAUUUUGCAAAGGGAAAAAUCCUGAAACAUGGAGAAACAAUAGCAACAGCCUUCUUCUGGCAUCUAGAAGGAAAGAAGAUAAGUUAAUUAGUAAAGGGUUAGAGGCAGUUAAAAUGAAUUCUGAAACUGAGACUAUCUGUUGAACUUUGCAGACAAAAACUUUAAACUGAAAUUGGAUCCCCUUAAUGAAAAUCCCCUUUGCUGCUUCUGAAGAAUAAAUGAGGAAAGAAACCCACAUGUUUAUUGCUUUCACCUAUAAACCAAGAACCUCGCUGAACUAUGUUAAAUAGUAACUGGCUCUGUUUCUGUGAAGACCACAUGGGGACUGAUGGGUAUCGUAAAAUUUUCUCUUACUAGUUAUAGCUCUGGUUCAUUACCAAUGUGGAGCCACUUAAAGAUGAGUGCUUUCUGAUAGAAAAGUUGGAUGACAAGAUAUGAAAAUAGGUCUUAAAUGCAGUGGAUUUCACCAGGGCUAGAAGUGUGGGCAGAGCAAAGAGAGGCUAGUAAGGAAAUACUCUCAGUGGUAUCAUAGAUUUUAAAAAUUCACCCCAAUUCUUCAUUUUCUCUUAAUUAAAUUAUAAAUGCAUACCUCUGCCUCAUGGACUGAGUGGACUGCCCCACCCCUUCUAGAUUUGGCUUUGUAACUUGCUUUGGAAAAGAAGUUGUUAGUAGACAUGGCAUAACCUGUAUGUUGGCUUUUCUUCUUGGCAAUUGUGGUCAUCCAUGAGACAAACACGUCCCAGGGGCUGCUAUGUCUCCUCCUUCUGUCUAGGCCCUGGAAGGAAAUGUAGAGUGAACUGAAACCCAUCACAGCCAAGAGCUUCAGUCUUGGAACAUAAAUAUGGAAAUAAAGAUGCCCAAUCAAGCAUAUUGUAAAUCAGUCAAUAGCAGUCAACUCAGGAACCCAAGUAUGAGAGUAGAUGCUGAUUAUUGUAACCACUAAAUUUGUGGGUGAAUCUGUGAGGUAGCAUUAUAGCUGAAAUAGUUGGCUGAUGUUAAGUGGUAGAUUUUUUUUCUUGUCUGUAGUUAGGGUGAUAACCAUAACAGGGGAAUAAAGACUCUUGCUAAGAUCAAGGAUUUAACUGAGGAAACUAAAAAAACACGAAAUGAUUAGGAAAGAGCCAAUGGGAAGAGCUCCCUGGAGGGAAUCUGUAGAGAAUUCUGGGUCAAGUGACUACUGCCCCAGAGACAAAAUUCUGCCUCCUCUCCAGUGAUUGUGGAUGAUCUGAGCAGGUGAAGAUGAUAGAGCUCUCCAAAAUAAUGUUCGUCUGUAUUUAUUAUUUUAUGUUUUUUAUAAUUAAACAUUACAGAAUGUUUGCAAAUA